GACGAACGCUGGCGGCGCGCUUAACACAUGCAAGUCGAGCGAAGCGGCGGACGGGUGAGUAACACGUGAGUAACCUGCCUUAGACAUUGGGAUAGCCUCGGGAAACCGGGAUUAAUACCAAAUGGUCUAAGGUGGACUCGCGUCCCAUUAGCAAGUUGGUGAGGUAACGGCACACCAAGGCGACGAUAGGUAGCCGGCCUGGGAAGGGGAAUGGCGACCAUAGAACUGAGGGACGGACCAAACUCUACGGGAGGCAGCAGUGGGGAAUAUUGAACAAUGAAGGGAACUCUGAUGCAGCGACGCCGCGUGAACGAAGAAGGCUUUCGAGUAGUAAAGAUCUUUUAUAGGGGAAGCGGUAUCAUAAGAAAAAGCCCCGGCUAACUACGUGCCAGCCGCCGCGGUAAUAC
rnacentral:rRNA from 1 species